rnacentral:rRNA from 1 species
GACGAACGCUGGCGGCGUGCUUAACACAUGCAAGUCGAACGGAAAGGCCCUGCUUUUGUGGGGUGCUCGAGUGGCGAACGGGUGAGUAACACGUGAGUAACCUGCCCUUGACUUUGGGAUAACUUCAGGAAACUGGGGCUAAUACCGGAUAGGAGCUCCUGCUGCAUGGUCCCCCCUCGCACCCCCCGGCGGUUGGGGAUGGACUCGCGGCUUAUCAGCUUGUUGGUGGGGUAGUGGCUUACCAAGGCCUUGACGGGUAGCCGGCCUGAGAGGGUGACCGGCCACAUUGGGACUGAGAUACGGCCCAGACUCCUACGGGAGGCAGAAGUGGGGAAUAUUGCACAAUGGGCGGAAGCCUGAUGCAGCAACGCCGCGUGCGGGAUGACGGCCUUCGGGUUGUAAACCGCUUUCGCCUGUGACGAAGCGUGAGUGACGGUAAUGGGUAAAGAAGCACCGGCUAACUACGUG